AAGUACGUAUCUGGGGGUCCCUUUUUAUAGAUGGAGGGCGUAACUGAUUAACAGUGACGUCUGUAACCGCCUGGUAAUGGGCUAUUCAGAGCCGUGCAGAGUUUGUUACGGAGAGUAGUGGCGUCAGGGGUCGUUCAGGGCCACGUGGAGUUUGUUACAGAGAGUGGAGUGGUGUCCAUUGUCAUGACUUGUCAGAGAGUGG
rnacentral:lncRNA from 1 species